GAUGAACGCUGGCGGCGUGCCUAAUACAUGCAAGUCGAGCGAAUGGAUUAAGAGCUUGCUCUUAUGAAGUUAGCGGCGGACGGGUGAGUAACACGUGGGUAACCUGCCCAUAAGACUGGGAUAACUCCGGGAAACCGGGGCGAAUACCGGAUAAUAUUUUGAACUGCAUGGUUCAAAAUUGAAAGGCGGCUUCGGCUGUCACUUAUGGAUGGACCCGCGUCGAAUUAGCUAGUUGGUGAGGUAACGGCUCACCAAGGCAACGAUGCGUAGCCGACCUGAGAGGGUGAUCGGCCACACUGGGACUGAGACACGGCCCAGAAUCCUACGGGAGGCAGCAGUAGGGAAUCUUCCGCAAUGGACGAAAGUCUGACGGAGCAACGCCGCGUGAGUGAUGAAGGCUUUCGGGUCGUAAAACUCUGUUGUUAGGGAAGAACAAGUGCUAGUUGAAUAAGCUGGCACCUUGACGGUACCUAACCAGAGAGCCACGGCUAACUACGUGCCAGCCGCCGCAGUAA
rnacentral:rRNA from 1 species